GUAGGUGGCAAGCGUUGUCCGGAAUUAUUGGGCGUAAAGCGCGCGCAGGCGGUUCUUUAAGUCUGAUGUGAAAGCCCACGGCUCAACCGUAGAGGGUCAUUGGAAACUGGAGAACUUGAGUACAGAAGAGGAAAGCGGAAUUCCACGUGUAGCGGUGAAAUGCGUAGAGAUGUGGAGGAACACCAGUGGCGAAGGCGGCUUUCUGGUCUGUAACUGACGCUGAGGCGCGAAAGCGUGGGGAGCAAACAGGGAUUAGAUACCCUGGUAGUCCACGCCGUAAACGAUGAGUGCUAAGUGUUAGGGGGUUUCCCGCCCCCUUAGUGCUGCAGCUAACGCAUUAAGCACUCCGCCUGGGGAGUACGGCCGCAAGGCUG
rnacentral:rRNA from 1 species